GCAUGGGUAGGUCAGUUGGUAGACCAUAAGACUUUUAAUCUGAAGGUCCAGGGUUCAAGUCCCUGUUCAGGCU
rfam:Loxodonta africana unplaced genomic scaffold scaffold_135, whole genome shotgun sequence.